rnacentral:rRNA from 1 species
CAGCAGCCACGGUAAUACGAAGGGGGCUAGCGUUGUUCGGAUUUGCUGGGCGUAAAGCGCACGUAGGCGGACCUUUAAGUCAGGGGUGAAAUCCCGGGGCUCAACCCCGGAACUGCCUUUGAUACUGGAAGUCUUGAGUAUGGUAGAGGUGAGUGGAAUUCCGAGUGUAGAGGUGAAAUUCGUAGAUAUUCGGAGGAACACCAGUGGCGAAUGCGGCUCACUGGACCAUUACUGACGCUGAGGUGCGAAAGCGUGGGGAGCAAACAGGAUUAGAUACCCCCGUAGUCCCUGUCUCUUAUAC